CGAGCGAAUGGAUUAAGAGCUUGCUCUUAUGAAGUUAGCGGCGGACGGGUGAGUAACACGUGGGUAACCUGCCCAUAAGACUGGGAUAACUCCGGGAAACCGGGGCUAAUACCGGAUAACAUUUUGAACCGCAUGGUUCGAAAUUGAAAGGCGGCUUCGGCUGUCACUUAUGGAUGGACCCGCGUCGCAUUAGCUAGUUGGUGAGGUAACGGCUCACCAAGGCAACGAUGCGUAGCCGACCUGAGAGGGUGAUCGGCCACACUGGGACUGAGACACGGCCCAGACUCCUACGGGAGGCAGCAGUAGGGAAUCUUCCGCAAUGGACGAAAGUCUGACGGAGCAACGCCGCGUGAGUGAUGAAGGCUUUCGGGUCGUAAAACUCUGUUGUUAGGGAAGAACAAGUGCUAGUUGAAUAAGCUGGCACCUUGACGGUACCUAACCAGAAAGCCACGGCUAACUACGUGCCAGCAGCCGCGGUAAUACGUAGGUGGCAAGCGUUAUCCGGAAUUAUUGGGCGUAAAGCGCGCGCAGGUGGUUUCUUAAGUCUGAUGUGAAAGCCCACGGCUCAACCGUGGAGGGUCAUUGGAAACUGGGAGACUUGAGUGCAGAAGAGGAAAGUGGAAUUCCAUGUGUAGCGGUGAAAUGCGUAGAGAUAUGGAGGAACACCAGUGGCGAAGGCGACUUUCUGGUCUGUAACUGACACUGAGGCGCGAAAGCGUGGAGCAAACAGGAUUAGAUACCCUGGGUAGUCCACGCCGUAAACGAUGAGUGCUAAGUGUAGAGGGUUUCCGCCCUUUUAGUGCUGAAAGUUUAACGCAUUUAAGCACUCCGCCUGGGGGAGUACG
rnacentral:rRNA from 1 species